ACGAAAAUUAAACUCCUUACAAGUCCUGUUAAAAUCACCUUGUUGCCUUCGCCUCAACAUUGUCCUCGUUUCGUCCGUCGUCGUCGCCACCGUAGCAGUUGGGGAUGCCCAAGAGAGGAAAGGCGAUGGUGAAUUGGGGGAGGAGGAAGACGCGGCGAUGCAGGUGGGAAGCGCUUAUUUAUCUGAACCAGACCAAGAUGAUAUUAGCAAAAAGCAGGGAGCUGAAGUCAGUUUCUUUCAGCCCCGAGCAAUCAUACAUCAAUUCAAUGAAUUUUUGUGUCAAAGAUGUUGAGGAUGACAACCUUGACAACAAUUGUCCAUCUCGGUCACAAAACAAAAUGACAUCUGGAAUAAGUGAUGAAGAUGGCAGCCACAAAGGGGACUAAGGAGCUCAUUACCUGGUACCGAGCAUGAGAGUGUGAACAAAAAAGGCCUGCCGUUAUAUGCAAUUUUUUUUGCUAGUGUUUGGUGCAUCAAGGGAAAUUCUUGUAAGUUUCUUCACGAGAAAGAUGGGGUUGGCUGCACUUGUCAAGUUGCCAAGGAAGAUUGGGCUACUAGUGGAGAUUUCAUUGAUUGCAAGGUAUCAGAAUAUCUUUCGCUGUGGAAUUUCGUCUUAAAGAUUAGUUGGAGGAAAACUUGCCAGUAGCAUCCACGUAAUUACCAGGUUCACCAGAAAAGUUUGAAAAAAUAAGUGUAUCUGCUUCACUUGGCUUGAUAGACUUAUCAAAUGUGGAGAAUUCAAGAAAAUCAAAUCUUCUUUUACAGAUGUCCCUUAUCCGGACCUGCGGUGGGGAGAUCCAUGGACUAGCUCAGUUUAGGAAUGAUGAUAACUUGCUUGCAUCAAAGAACUCUUCUAAAGAACAUUUUCAAGUUGAUGUUUCAUGCGGCAAUAGGACAUCUUAUUCUGCAGUUGAUAAGUCAAAGCAGAGGAUGUUGAUCCAAGAAGAAAACCAAAGAACUUAUGGGCUAAUACAUUGUCUUGAUUCUAUCAAUGAUAGUCACUCAGAUAGUAGUUAAUUUCUAUCAAGACAGUACUCAAAUGAAGGAAAUAUAUACAAAAAAAAUGACUGGUGUAGAGUUCAAGAACUUUGCCUUUCACAAAAUACCUGUUAUCUUCAGGAUCUAAUUAUUUCUCUGGUGGAUCAUCUGCAGCCCCCAAUGUCUAUAAGGAUAUCAACAACACCUAUUCUUUUGGAAAAAGUCCAGGUAACAGCAAAGUCAUUUUCCACUUGAUGAUUCCUAUAGUUCUGGUUUAACUAGUUCUGUCAGUUUUAGCUUUGACAAUUCUCUUCAUUCAUUUUGGAGUACACCACGAAUGGAAUUGCUUCAUUUAUUUUCUGAAGCAGGGAUAAUGUUAACUUAUGUCUCUCCACCAUUUGGUGCUGAGCAUGGUGAUACCCAUGGAACAUCAAACGUUGGUUGAGGAUUUGGUGGUGCUACAUCUGGACAGCAAAAUAUUCCUGGGAAUACUUUUAACCUUUUCUGAGCAAAAACCAGAACUUGAAAAAAAUACUUGGGAGCCUUCUGUACCUUUUCAUCACCAGUGAUUAAAUCAUCCUCUGAAAGCCAAUAUGAUCCACUUGUUGACAGCAUUGGACCUCCCAAAGUGGGGAUUUUAACUUCAGUUUCUCCAAGAGUGAUUAUGAACACUAUGUCAAGUCAACAUGUUCUUGGUGAUCAUAUACUAGGUUAUAUUGCUUCAGAGGGUAUAAUGUCAAGAAGUCUUUGAACUCUUCCGAUCCAGGAUAUGAAGGCAUGCUAGGUAAAUCAUGGCAUGAAUAUUGUGGCUAUUUUAAUGGAAUGGCUCCUCCUGAUCGUACAACUGUUGAUGAGGAAGGUCAGACAGACCUUAGUAGUAAUACAAAUCUUUCAUACUGCUUUGGUGGAUUUUGUGAAGGAAGAGUAGACAAAGGAGAAGACAAAGGAGAAUACAAAUCUUUCAUACAAAUCUUGAUGAGGAAGAGUAGACAAAGGAGAAGACGUUAAGGAAUCAAAAGCAGUGAAAAUUUUUCAUACUGCUUUGGUGGAUUUUGUGAAGGAAUUGCUAAAGACAAUUUGGAAGGAGGGUCACUCGAGUAGGGAUGCUCAUAAAAUGAUAGUCAAGAAGGCAGCUGAAAAGGUUCUAAAUGCAUUGCAACCCCAUCAUGUCCCAAUUGAUAGAGUUGAUAAAGGAUCAUCUUUCGGCAUCCAAACCAAAUCUUUAAAAGG